AUCCAGCUGACGAGUCCCAAAUAAGAUUAAAUGCGCAUCCUUGAU
rnacentral:hammerhead_ribozyme from 1 species